AUAAAUAACCCAAAGAAACAUGAAUAUCUUAUUGACAUUAAUAUCAUAUUGAAACACAAAACACAUAAAACCAGUAGCCACAACAACAAAGAAUAUACUAGAGGGAUUAUGAAUAGUUCAUCAAUUAAAUGAAGAGUCAACAGUAUAGAGAGAAAACUAUCGUUUGUCCCGACAAAUUAAAUGCUUGUCAAUUAGGAUCAGACAAUAGACCAAACUGCUGUAGUUUCACAAACCUGAGGGGUUGAAGGAAGCAUGU
rnacentral:misc_RNA from 1 species